AUUGAACGCUGGCGGCAGGCCUAACACAUGCAAGUCGAACGAGCGGCGGACGGGUGAGUAAUGUAUGGGGAUCUGCCUGAUGGAGCGGGCUAACUACGGGAAACCGUGGCUAAUACCGCAUACCAUCAGAUGAGCCCAUAGGGGAUUAGGUUGUUGGUGGGGUAACGGCUCACCAAGGCGACGAUCCCUAGCUGGUCUGAGAGGAUGAUCAGCCACACUGGGACUGAGACACGGCCCAGACUCCUACGGGAGGCAGCAGUGGGGAAUAUUGCGCAAUGGGCGCAAGUCUGAUGCAGCCAUGCCGCGUGAAUGAAGAAGGCCUUCGGGUUGUAAAGUACUUUCGGUAGGGAGGCGUUACCGACAGAAGAAGCACCGGCUAACUCCGUGCCAGCAGCCGCGGUAAUAC
rnacentral:rRNA from 1 species